GACUUUAACCAAAGUCUUAAAAUGGAAGUGGUAAAUUCUGACCUACCAAGGGGCAAAGAGGAUUUUUGGCAUUGUUUAAACAUUAGUGAUUUGAUUGAGAUUGAGGUUAUUCAAGUAUUGAAUCUCCCCUUGGAAUCAGAUCAUACAGAAUCGAAGCCAUAUGGCUGCAGCACCCUGAUUGCAAGAUAGGUCAUAAGACAAAACUGAUGCAGGCUUGGUCACCGGCAUUUCAGCUUCCUUUUCUUCACAGCAUACUUGGAAGAAUGCAGAGUUGUCAAGGACAG